ACUGGAUAACUGAAUUCUAGAAUUCAAGCCUGAUGUCAUAGUUCCAUGAGAAUUUUAUGAGAAGGAAAAGGAUGUUGUACAUGGGCAGAAAGGUGAAAAUUGUGGCCAGAGGCAGAUUGUGGUAAAUUACAAAAUUGGCUCAUAAUCCUUUAUUCCUUCUUGCCUCCAUGCUCUUUGCAAUGUGACUUUGCCACUUUUCUCAUUAAGAGAUGGAUUCUGUUCUCCAUUGCCUUCUGUCUGGACUGGUCUUGUAACUUGUUCUGGUUAAUACAGAGGUAAAUGUGAUGACACAUCAGAAGCCCAGGCCUCAAGCAAGCUUUCCCACUUGUUCUCUUGGAACCCUUCCCAGCUAUCAGACACUACUGGCAAAGACAUUGAAAAGAAUCACACUGCUAAACCAGUAGCAGCUUUUAUCUUCUUCUCAGAUUGUAUACAUGCAGGAUAAAAGUGUUUCUAACACAUAGACUUCUAUAUUCCAGCAUAAAGAUGUAUUAGGCGCAUUUAUACUUUUACAUCGAAGCCUGUUUCAACAUGAACGGAGCCCAGGCAAGUGUCCUUGUCAUCAAUCGAGAGUGAAAGUUAGCUAUACUUAAAAAAAAAAUAGGUUUUAAAAAAUAUCAAAAUAAUUAGAAAAGAGUUUCAACUAAUAACAUACUUACUAUUUGUAUUCCAUUUUGACAGUACCAUGUUAGAUCAAUGACUUCAUUUAUCACAAUAUAUUCCAUGUUACAGUUACCUCUCAGGAAAAUGACAUUGAUAGAGUCAACUUUCUUGAGAAUUAAGCUUCUGUAACUUUUAUUUAAAGGUGUCUCAAGCUUGUGCUUCUUAGUAUUUUAUGAUAUGUCUUUAGUUUUUGUAAUUUCACUUUGUCAAAACAUUACAUUUGUCAUUAUUCAUACUGAAAGACAAGGUAUUUUGAAGAUAAAAAUCUACCAAGGAUCAUCUACCAUUUGCUUUUGAUAUAAAAGAUUUAUAAGACCAUUUAGACCACAAAAACAAACCUUCCUAAGGACAUAUCUAUACAUCAACAAAUAUUAAAAAUUACAUUUCUAGGAAAUUAAAAACAAUUUAGAAAGGUGCUUAGUUGAACAGAAAUUAGCUACAACCAAAAUAAUGAUUAAUAUUAUAACCAUAAUCAUAGAAAAUAACAGUUGAUUGCCACUUUCAAGAAUAAAAGCAAAUUCUGUGAAUACAGAACUAAAAUACUAAAAAUAAACAAACAAGCUUGGGAGAGAUUAGUCAUGCAAAAUCCAACCCUAGAUAUUUGAUGGCAAUUAUCUUAAUUUUUUACCUUAUAAUUGAGAUGGUAUUUCACUGGCAAAGCUUAAACCAAGUAAUAUUCACAAAAAUGGAAGAAAUUCAUAAUUAAAGAAAGUCAUUAAGCAAAACAGAAAAAA
rnacentral:lncRNA from 1 species